GACUAGCCAAGUAAGAGAACUUGUAUUCAAAUAAUCGAGAAGAAAAAUUUGAAAACUCAAAGUCAUCUCCUUUCUUGUUUCUUAUUAUGAAAAUGAUUCGAUUUGAUUGUGCUUAGGUGGAUGGAAGUGACGACUAUUUGACUAACUGAGUAAGAGAACUCGUAUUCAAAUAAUCGAGGAGAGGAGUUGAAAACUCAAAACCAUCCCCCUUUUUUCACUUCCAAAUGAAAUGAUAUUUAAUUGUGAUUAGGUAUUUUAAUUUAAUUUUAAU
rnacentral:lncRNA from 1 species